AAUCAACGCUGGCGGCGUGCCUCAGACAUGCAAGUCGAACGCGAAAGCUCCCUUCGGGGAGCAAGUAGAGUGGCGCACGGGUGAGUAACACGUAGGUAAUCUACCUUUGGAUUGGGAAUAACAACCGGAAACGGUUGCUAAUACCGAAUAAUGCAGCGGCACCUAAUGGUGACAGUUGUUAAAGCGGGGGAUCGCAAGACCUCGCGUCUAAAGAGGAGCCUGCGGCGGAUUAGCUAGUUGGUAAGGUAAUGGCUUACCAAGGCGAUGAUCCGUAGCCGGCCUGAGAGGGCGGUCGGCCACACUGACACUGACAUACGGGUCAGACUCCUACGGGAGGCAGCAGUCGGGAAUUUUGGGCAAUGGGCGAAAGCCUGACCCAGCAACACCGCGUGAAGGAUGAAAUCCCUCGGGAUGUAAACUUCGCAAGAACGGGAAGAAUAAGCCGGUGUAGAUACCACCGGCGAUGACGGUACUGUUUGUAAGCUCCGGCUAACUCCGUGC
rnacentral:rRNA from 1 species